rnacentral:rRNA from 1 species
AUGACCACCAUCAACUGGAACUGUCGAGGGCUUGGGAACCCUCAGACAGUUCGUGAGCUUCACAAGAUUGUGAAGCAGGAAGGUCCUGCCCUGCUGUUCAUCAUGGAAACAAAAAUCAAGGGCAAGAGAGUGGAAUAUCUGAAAUUUUCUUUGGGUUUUUUGGGUUGUUUUGCCAUCGACAGUGAUGGCCUUAGUGGUGGUAUUGGCCUAUUCUGGUCAAAAGAUGUUGAUGUCAAAUUGGAGAACUUUAGUCGUUAA